rnacentral:rRNA from 1 species
GAUGAACGCUGGCGGCGUGCCUAAUACAUGCAAGUCGAGCGAACAGAUAAGGAUCUUGCUCCUUGGACGUUAGCGGCGGACGUGUGAGUAACACGUGGGUAACCUACCUAUAAGACUGGAAUAACUCCGGGAAACCGGGGCUAAUGCCGUAUAACAUUUAGAACCGCAGGGUUCUAAAGUGAAAGAUGGUUUUGCUAUCACUUAUAGAUGGACCCGCGCCGUAUGAGCGAGUUGGUAAGGUAACGGCUUUCCAAGGCGACGAGCGGUAGCCGACGUGAUAGGGUGGUAGCCCACACUGGAACUGAAACAGGGUCCAGAGUACUAAGGGAGGACGCAGUCGGGAAUCUUCCGCAAUGGGCGAAAACAUGCCGCAGCAACGCAGCGUGAGAGAUGAAGGUCUUCGGAUCGUAAAACUCUGUUACUAGGUAAGAACAAAUGUGUAAGUAACUGUGCACGUCUUGACGGUACCGAAUCAGAAAGCAACGGCUAACUACGUG